rnacentral:rRNA from 1 species
CAAUAGCGUAUAUUAAAGUUGUUGCAGUUAAAAAGCUCGUAGUUGAAUUUCUGGCGGGCGCGCCGGUCUUCCAAGUGUUGUACUGGGCGCAGUCCGCCAUCCUUGUGGAGAGGGCUCGCAUUGAGUUGCGUGUCGGAUCUGCAUCAUUUACUGUGAAAAAAUUAGAGUGUUUAAAGCAGGCUGUCGCUUGGAUACAUUAGCAUGGAAUAAUAAGAUAGGACUUCGGUCUAUUUUGUUGGUUGCGAACCGAGGUAAUGAUUAAUAGGGAUAGUUGGGGGUAUUCAUAUUUAAUUGUCAGAGGUGAAAUUCUUGGAUUUAUGAAAGAUGAACAACUGCGAANGNAUUUACNAAGGAUGUUUNCAUUA